rnacentral:rRNA from 1 species
GACGAACGCUGGCGGCGUGCUUAACACAUGCAAGUCGAACGGAAAGGCCCUGCUUUUGUGGGGUGCUCGAGUGGCGAACGGGUGAGUAACACGUGAGUAACCUGCCCUUGACUUUGGGAUAACUUCAGGAAACUGGGGCUAAUACCGGAUAGGAGCUCCUGCUGCAUGGUGGGGGUUGGAAAGUUUCGGCGGUUGGGGAUGGACUCGCGGCUUAUCAGCUUGUUGGUGGGGUAGUGGCUUACCAAGGCUUUGACGGGUAGCCGGCCUGAGAGGGUGACCGGCCACAUUGGGACUGAGAUACGGCCCAGACUCCAACGGGAGGCAGCAGUGGGGAAUAUUGCACAAUGGGCGGAAGCAUGAUGCAGCAACGCCGCGUGCGGGAUGACGGCCUUCGGGUUGUAAACCGCUUUCGCCUGUGACGAAGCGUGAGUGACGGUAAUGGGUAAAGAAGCACCGGCUAACUACGUG